AUGAGAGCAGCCUAGCCUGAGCUCUAAGGCAUUCAAAGGUCAGUGCGGCUGGAAUCCGGGGAGGGAGAGAGCUAGCAGAUGGGAGCUGAGAGUCCGUAGGCUACCAUAAGGAAUUUGGAUUUUAUUCUAGGGAGGCGGGUUAUACAAUCUGAUUUGCAUUUUAAAAAGCACAGUCUGACUGGUGGGUGGAGAAUGGAAUACAGUGAACAAAAGUAGAGGCCUGGGAGGCCCCUGAGGAGACUAUUCUGGAUAUGCAGGCAAGAGAUGCCGGCUGCCUUGGUCUAGAGUGGGAGCAGCAGGGGUCGUGAGAAGUGGGUCAGAUUGUAAAAGAUUGUAAAGAUGAUAGAUUAUAAAGGAUCAGCUGAUGAAUUUGACUCUGAGGGUUUGUCUCUUCAGGAAUAAAUGAAAUAAGACAAAGUACUUACCAGACUUUACUUAGAAUGUCACUAUUGACAUUCUGAUUCUGAGCAUAUGUCUGACCUUCACAAGAUGCUGGUCGAUUGGGUGAGGAAAGCUAUCACUACUUGGGUGUCUUUGGACGUGGUCUCAUAUUGUCCCCAAGGCCAGUCUUGAGAGAGAAGGGUGUCAGUAAGUAUGGCUUCAGACUCUGAGAGACCCUCACUGCUACAAUCAGUCAGGCUCAGAUCGGGUCAAAAAUCCACUCAUUCUACCCAUUUCCGUACAUCAGAUAAUGAUCAAGCACCUAGUGUGUUCUGGGAAGUAUUCUAGAAACAGAGGGGGAAGUACCAGCAAGACAUGUAAUGCCAGUGUACUCAUCUUCUGCUUUUCUUUGCACUAGGAUGUAUAGAGAAAAAGGGGCAUUUAUUUUUAUCUCUUCUAACUUUCUGUGCAUGCCCCUUGUCACCCUACUGGGAAUUGAGGACACUUAAUGGCUAAACAACAGGACCACAGUUUCUUCACAGUUAAAACUCAGGCUCUCUGAAUCCUCUCUCUUGCUCAAGAUGGAUUAUGAUGUACCUGGGGCUGACUGCAGGAGGCAAGGUGGGGAGGGGCCUUGAUGUCAUGGGGGCCCCUUCAAGUACCACCGCUGCUCACCUGUAUGAGUGCACCAUAAUCUCCUUCCAGAAACUAAAUAGAAUAUCUUCUUGGCCUCCUCCUACUGGAUUUGACCUCCUUUUCCCAUUUCUCUGGGAAUCAUAAUGGUGAAGUGACUUCCAGGCUGCCAUCAUGCUGAAUCACAGUUGGCAAGCUCUCUGGAACCUCCUGGCCCUUGCAGAAGAGAAGACACCCCUCGCCAUCCUUUCAGCCCACCAUUACAGCAGCCGGGACCCCUGUACGAUGGGACAACUGAGGUCCAGCAAGGGAAGAAGGCUGGCUCAAAGUCAAAUAGCAAGUCAUGGCAGAGUUAAGGUUGGCAGCCGGGACUCCCUUCUGACCCAGAGUGCUUCCUCUGACGUCUUUGCAACUCAGGUGGACUUCACACCCUUCUGCCACCUCCACCAGCCAUGUAGGUCUUACUCACGCAUCUCCCAAGAAGAGGUUGGGCCAGACCUCAUUGAUAUGGUUCAACAUGGUGGCCCGACGGACCCACAGCAAGCGCUGCAGCGAGGCCAGCGUGGGUGGCGAAUAGGGAGAUGCCCGGACUGCCCCGUGGAUCUUGGGCCUCCGGAGAUCCUGCUUCUGCAGUGAGUUCAUCCUGAAAUAGAGUAGACACCCCAGUGCUGGAGACAGGCUCCCCAAGUCCACAGGAUGUCAUGGGGGAGGUGAAGGACCGAUCAGCUUGGUUGUGCAUCUGCUUUGGUGGGAUUUGAUGAGUCACCAUUCAAGGCAGGACAAGACAGGCUGGAGCAGUUUCUUGUCCAGCUGGCAGAGCUGAUGGAGGAAGCCACGGUUGGGGAAGAUCCACCGGUGUUCCCUCACAGUGAUCACUGCCUGACGCAGGGACAGCUGCUGGUGCAGCAUGAGGUAGGCCAGGACCAGUGUGGCAGAGCGGCUGACACCCACCACACAGUGCACGAGGACUUUGGCUGAGGGAGACAUCCUGGUAAAAGACCCUUUCCCACCAGCCAUCCCAUCCAGGCCUGGGGUGGAGACCCUUGUUCCAUUCCCUACCCUGCCUUGGGUAUACUCUGGAACCUCAGGCAAGUCACUCAGCCAUCAUGGAUCUCAGUUUCAAAUGAUUUUCAUUUGAAAUGAUAUUUCAAAUGAGUAACAACACCUAUUUGGCCUAUCCUUGGAAUGAAGUCCAAAUCCUUAACAUGACUUACAAGACCAUCUGAGAGCUGGCCCUUCCUGACAACUGCAGCCUUAUCUCAAGAUGAACCUAUCCCAACCCUCAUCUCUAGGAACACAGGGUAAGGAACACAGUUCCUUGAAACUGU